rnacentral:rRNA from 1 species
UACAGAGGGUGCAAGCGUUGUUCGGAAUUAUUGGGCGUAAAGGGCGUGUAGGCGGUCUUUUAAGUCUUCUGUGAAAUCUACGGGCUUAGCCUGUAACGUGCAGAGGAAACUGGAAGGCUUGAGUGUCGGAGAGGAUAGGGGAAUUCCCGGUGUAGAGGUGAAAUUCGUAGAGAUCGGGAGGAACACCAGUGGCGAAGGCGCCUAUCUGGCUGACAACUGACGCUGAGACUCGAAAGCAUGGGGAGCAAACAGG